UAGCUGGACUGAGAGGUUGAACGGCCACAUUGGGACUGAGAUACGGCCCAAACUCCUACGGGAGGCAGCAGUAAGGAAUUUUCGGCAAUGGAGGAAACUCUGACCGAGCAACGCCGCGUGAACGAUGAAGUAUUUAGGUACGUAAAGUUCUUUUAUUAAAGAAGAAAAAAUGAUGGAAAAAUCAUUCUGACGGUAUUUAAUGAAUAAGCCCCGGCUAACUAUGUGCCAGCAGCUGCGGUAAUACAUGGGGGGCAAGCGUUAUCCGGAUUUAUUGGGCGUAAAGGGUGCGUAGGCGGUUAAAUAAGUCUAUGGUAUAAGUUCAACGCUUAACGUUGUGAUGCUAUAGAAACUGUUUGACUAGAGUUGGAUAGAGGCAAGUGGAAUUCCAUGUGUAGCGGUAAAAUGCGUAAAUAUAUGGAGGAACACCAGUAGCGAAGGCGGCUUGCUGGGUCUUAACUGACGCUGAGGCACGAAAGCGUGGGGAGCAAACAGGAUUAGAUACCCUGGUAGUCCACGCCGUAAACGAUGAGUACUAAGUGUUGGGUUAAACCAGUGCUGAAGUUAACACAUUAAGUACUCCGCCUGAGUAGUACGUACGCAAGUAUGAAACUUAAAGGAAUUGACGGGACUCCGCACAAGCGGUGGAUCAUGUUGUUUAAUUCGAAGAUACACGAAAAACCUUACCAGGUCUUGACAUACUCUGCAAAGCUAUAGAAAUAUAGUGGAGGUUAUCAGGGAUACAGGUGGUGCAUGGUUGUCGUCAGCUCGUGUCGUGAGAUGUUGGGUUAAGUCCCGCAACGAGCGCAACCCUUAUCACUAGUUACCAUCAUUUAGUUGGGCACUUUAGUGAGACUGCCAAUGAUAAAUUGGAGGAAGGUGGGGAUUACGUCAAAUCAUCAUGCCCCUUAUGACCUGGGCUACAAACGUGAUACAAUGGCUGUUACAAAGAGUAGCUGAAACGUGAGUUUUUAGCAAAUCUCAAAAAAACAGUCUCAGUUCGGAUUGAAGUCUGCAACUCGACUUCAUGAAGUCGGAAUCGCUAGUAAUCGCGAAUCAGCAUGUCGGGUGAA
rnacentral:rRNA from 1 species